rnacentral:misc_RNA from 1 species
ACUGUUUUCAAGUUAAGCUGGAGUCUUUUCUUUUUUACAUUAUUACUAAGAGAAAUAGCAAGUGAACAACCAGUUUUACUACUGCAGAAAUCUUUCUGGUGAUUGUUUUAGUUGGAUGGGCGAGGACUGGGGAUCCUGGUUUCCUCAGCAACAAUUUAAUUGGCAAUCACCCAAUUUGAAUUAUUUGGGUGCUCCAUUUAACUUUGGGCAGCAGAAUACUCCCCCUUCAUUUUUGAACGCUGGCACUGAUAUGGUUUCUAUGAAGGGGACUUUGCCUGUUUAUCCAUCCCCUGAGCUACCUCACCCGCAUGUUGGUCAAGCAAAUGAAUGUCGUGGUUGGUUUUACUGUUUGCCUGGUUUCCGACAGGCUUUCAUGCCUGCUUUAAGCUCUGGUCUCAAAGAGUGGCCUGUCACUGCCCCUUUUGACAAUCAUAAGGAGACCAUUACACCCAAGGUAGAGUCAGGGUGUCCGCAGAAGAGAUACCUUGUUUUUGAUCAGUCAGGCGAUCAAACAACUCUUAUCUUUAGUCCUGGAAUUGGGACUCCUCAACAGUGCUUUACUUCUUGGGGUCCAAAUCCAACUGCUGCAUAUAAUUUGAAGAGGAAAGAUCCUGGUAUUAAAGAAAAUCUGAAUAUUCAUUUAGGGGCUAUUGCAGCUGACCAAUUUGGAGAAAAUAAUGGUACUGAAUUGCAAAGUGAAAUGCACGAGGACACUGAAGAACUGAAUGCCUUACUGUACUCAGAUGAUGAAAGUGAUUCUACCGAGGACGAUGAAGUUACCAGUACAGGUCAUUCACCUAGUACAAUGACAUUUCACAAUAAUCAUGAUUGGUUUGAGGGAAGCACAGAAGAGGUUGCGAGUACUGAUGGGUCAACUAAAAAGCGAAAACUGUUUGCAGGUGACAGUCAUUCACCUGCAUUAAUGGACACUGCUAGUUCAGUGAAAUCCAUCAGAAGCUUUGAGUAUGAUAAUGAUGCUGAAUCUAGGUGUGAAGAUGGCAUGAAGGCCUUAGGUGAGAUGGGUUCAGAACCAACCAACAAAAGGACAAGAAAAGAAAGAAUAAGAGAGACUGUUAGCAUUCUGCAGAACAUAAUUCCGGGUGUAAAGGGCAAGGAUGCAAUUGUGGUUCUUGAUGAAGCUAUUAAUUACUUGAAAUCCUUGAAGCUCAAAGCAAAAACUUUAGGGCUUGAUGCUCUCCCUCAGUAGCAAAACUUCAUCAAGUAAUAUUAGUAGUGGCACUAGGUUUUAUCAGUUACUUGUUAAUUACUAGAAGUUAAUGGUGUGUGCAGAAUAAGGCAGGUAAACCUGAACUGGGCAUGGUCUAAGGAUUUGCUCAAGAUAAAAGAGUGCAAAGCAUGUGCAGACUGGAAAGAGAGAGGAUCAUGGAAUCUCUACCGUAGUCUAUAAUCAGUGACAGAUUUCGAAAUCAGCAAGCUUUGAUUGUCAACAUCUUCUAUAGUUCCUGUAAAGAUGAAGGCAAGUGCAGCGUAAUAUGUCCCAAUAAAGGAAAGAGGUUGAAUCAUUAAGCAUGUCUUAGGGUCUAGAUAAAGUAGCACUCAACAUCUGGGCGUGGGAGAAUGGCUGUGUGAACGAGAAGACUAGUUAUUCUAGAGGGACCCUCUUGGAAGGAGGACUAACGCACGCUGCUUGUGUGUUUUG